GACGAACGCUGGCGGCGCGCCUAACACAUGCAAGUCGAACGGAGCUGAGAGAAGCUUGCUUUUCUUAGCUUAGUGGCGAACGGGUGAGUAACGCGUGAGUAACCUGCCCUGGAGUGGGGGACAACAGUUGGAAACGACUGCUAAUACCGCAUAAGCCCACGAUCCGGCAUCGGAUUGAGGGAAAAGGAUUUAUUCGCUUCAGGAUGGACUCGCGUCCAAUUAGCUAGUUGGUGAGGUAACGGCCCACCAAGGCGACGAUUGGUAGCCGGACUGAGAGGUUGAACGGCCACAUUGGGACUGAGACACGGCCCAGACUCCUACGGGAGGCAGCAGUGGGGGAUAUUGCACAAUGGGGGAAACCCUGAUGCAGCGACGCCGCGUGGAGGAAGAAGGUUUUCGGAUUGUAAACUCCUGUCGUUAGGGACGAUAAUGACGGUACCUAACAAGAAAGCUCCGGCUAACUACGUG
rnacentral:rRNA from 1 species